GACAUACUACUUCUACCACCUAUAUAUAGAGGUUUUUUGAGCUGAAUUGAAAUACACAACACCUCUCAUUAUUCAUAUACAUAUUGAUAUCAUUGUGCAUCAUUAUAGAGCUUUUGUUGAGCCAUUUGAGAGACAACUUUGAGUUGUUCAUAGAGCUAUUAUUGUAUCUCUUUAUCUACUCUUUUGAGAGAGUUCUUGUUGUAAAAGAGAAAGGUGUUUGAGAAGACCAUAUCUUCUCAUUGAUUGUCGGG
rnacentral:lncRNA from 1 species